rnacentral:lncRNA from 1 species
CUUUGUUAUAUUUGUGCUUUAUUAAUUGAAUGUAGAUGACACAUCUUUGGUAAAAUGUUUUGAUGAAAAUUACAACUUACAUAGACUUCAAAUAAUGGACUAUUUUCAUAUUACCCACUUCUGACUAGAGUUUAUAUUUUUUGACAGGUUACAUUCUUUCUUUUUGGACAUCCUGGCACUUGGUCAAAGAAGAGCAAUGUAAAGAAGCUUUUAAUGGGUACAUUUGUUGGAGGUAAUGAGCCGUUUUAACUUUUCCUUAUACGACAAAAUACUUGAAAAACAGUAAACUCCCCCCCCCUUCUAAAGUGCAUAGAUUUUAUGUUUGAUUUUUACUUCUUUUGGUUGCUCUUACAUGACUGAACACCAGAAUGUCAAACCAGAAAUUAGGUAACCUGUAGAACUGUAAUUCAGAUUUUCAUUUUUUUCAUAACAACCAAAUCUGGUUGACAUAAGCAUUUCUAAGAAGUAUUAAUCCUUUUUUUUU